rnacentral:rRNA from 1 species
GACGAACGCUGGCGGCGUGCUUAACACAUGCAAGUCGAACGGAAAGGCCUCUUUCGGGGGGUACUCGAGUGGCGAACGGGUGAGUAACACGUGAGUAACCUGCCCUUGACUUUGGGAUAACUUCAGGAAACUGGGGCUAAUACCGGAUAGGAGCUCCUGCUGCAUGGUGGGGGUUGGAAAGUUUCGGCGGUUGGGGAUGGACUCGCGGCUUAUCAGCUUGUUGGUGGGGGAGUGGCUUACCAAGGCUUUGACGGGUAGCCGGCCUGGGAGGGUGACCGGCCACAUUGGGACUGAGAUACGGCCCAGACUCCUACGGGAGGCAGCAGUGGGGAAUAUUGCACAAUGGGUGGAAGCCUGAUGCAGCAACGCCGUGUGCGGGAUGACGGCCUUCGGGUUGUAAACCGCUUUCGCUCAUGACGAAGCUUUGUGUGACGGUAGUGGGUAAAGAAGCACCGGCUAACUACGUG